GACGUAGGGCGCGAGCGUUGUCCGGAAUUAUUGGGCGUAAAGAGCUCGUAGGCGGCUUGUUGCGUCGGCUGUGAAAACCCGCGGCUUAACCGUGGGCUUGCAGCCGAUACGGGCAGGCUAGAGUUCGGUAGGGGAGACUGGAAUUCCGUGGUAGCGGUGAAAUGCGCAGAUAUCAGGAGGAACACCAGUGGCGAAGGCAGGCUCGUGGGCCGGUAC
rnacentral:rRNA from 1 species